CACAAUGAACCCAAGGCAGGAAGGAUAGGAAUGGAAAAGGGCGGACAGAAAGAAGGAAGGAAGGAGGCAACCAACCCACUGUGGCAAUGGGGGAAAAGAAAAGUUAGAAAGAGAACCUGAAGCAAAGAGCCUGCCCUUUUACAGACAGAGAUUCCCUGCUUGCCUGCCUUACUUCCUUUCCCUCCUUAAGUCCAUGCUCUCAGGCUCACAUGUGGCCCAUUGGUAGGAUAACUGAGCCUUGUCUCGCUGCCUUGAUUCCAAGGGAACACAAAAGGGAAGGGAACAACACCUAAUCUCCUCCCCUCCUCCCCUCCUCCUC
rnacentral:lncRNA from 1 species